UGCUCAAUUCACGACAUUCUUUGGGCACAAGAGGACGAGCUCACUGGAGGCAAAUGUAAAGUGGCAUGGGAGAAGGUAUGUACACCAGUAGCGCAAGGAGGGCUUGGGAUCCUUGAUCUGCACAAGUUCAGUCGGACUCUAAGAAUUAGAUGGUUGUGGCUUGCCUGGGAGCAGCCGAACAGACCCUGGGUCGGUCUGCAAGCACCUAUUGACGACAAGGCUUUGUUUAGCAAUGCCACAAAAGUGCAAAUCGGCAACGGAAGCAGGGCGAGCUUCUGGAAGGACAACUGGAUUGGAGGGGCAACGUUGUGCAUAGUCUUCCCACAAACUCUUCCAUCAUGCUCGCCGAAAAAACAGGACAGUGGGGGUUGGCCUUAG
rnacentral:rRNA from 1 species